rnacentral:rRNA from 1 species
AGAGUUGAGUCCUGGCUUAGGAUGAACGCUAGCUACAGGCUAACACAUGCAAGUCAGGGGCAGCAUGAUCAAAGCUUGCUUGGUGAUGGCGACCGGCGCACGGGUGAGUAACGCGUAUCCAACUUCCCCUUAGUAGGGCAUAGCCCGUAGAAAUGCGGAUUAAUACCCUAUGUUGUUCGUAGAGGACAUCUGAAAUGAACCAAAGGUUUACCGCUAAGGGAUGGGGAUGCGUCUGAUUAGGUAGUCGGCGGGGUAACGGCCCACCGAGCCCUCGAUCAGUAGGGUUCUGAGAGGAAGGUCCCCCACAUUGGAACUGAGACACGGUCCAAACUCCUACGGGAGGCAGCAGUGAGGAAUAUUGGUCAAUGGACGAGAGUCUGAACCAGCCAAGUAGCCGUGCAGGAUGACGGCCCUAUGGGUUGUAAACUGCUUUUAUACAGGGAUAAAGUUGGGAACGUGUUCCCUUUUGCAGGUACUGUAUGAAUAAGGACCGGCUAAUUCCGUGCCAGCCGCCGC